AGUACCGGUGGUCGUGUACUUGAUUCGUUUAGAAGUUCAUUGACUCCUAAAUGUGUGCAAUCUCUUAUUUGUGUUCAAGAUUGGCUUAGGAAAGAGACUAAAUCUGUUAGUGUGGAAGAAAGUUUGGAUCAUCUUGAGGAACUUGAACUUGACAUGGCAAAUAGUGGAAGAGAUCCUUGCAUUGUUGAUGUAUGAUUGCAAUUUGCUUCUUUGUUACUAGUGUUCAAUCAUGCCUUCUAGAGCUCGCUCACAAGUUUGGGAACAUUUUGUGAUGGUUCAAGACAAUGAAGAAGGGCGUAAAGCUAGGUGCUUAACAUGCG